GGGGGGGGGGGGGGGGGGGGGGGGGGGGGGGGGGGCGGGGGGGGGGGCCGGGCGGGGGGGGGGUGCGCGGGGGGCGGAGGGGGGGGUAACACGGGAGUAACCGGCCCGUGACUUUGGGAGAACUUCGGGAAACUGGGGCUAAUCCCGGAUAGGAGCUCCUGCUGCAGGGUGGGGGUUGGAAAGUUUCGGCGGUUGGGGAUGGACUCGCGGCUUAUCAGCUUGUUGGUGGGGUAGUGGCGUACCAAGGCUUUGACGGGUAGCCGGCCUGAGAGGGUGACCGGCCACAUUGGGACUGAGAUACGGCCCAGACUCCUACGGGAGGCAGCAGUGGGGAAUAUUGCACAAUGGGCGGAAGCCUGAUGCAGCAACGCCGCGUGCGGGAUGACGGCCUUCGGGUUGUAAACCGCUUUCGCCUGUGACGAAGCGUGAGUGACGGUAAUGGGUAAAGAAGCACCGGCUAACUACGUG
rnacentral:rRNA from 1 species